CCCAUGCCCACCUCCACAUAGCUACUCAACAGUUAGUUAUCAUAUUUUCUCAGUAGGCCAACUGUUAAAUUAGUCCAAGACCAGCACCUGGCAUUACUGCCAUUAUCUUUCUGUAGAGUGUGUAUAUGUUAAAGGGUGAUGUGUGUUAGAAAAAACAGAUGUUAGCGUAGAUCAUGGAGCACUGUCUAAGUACUCAUUGCUGUGGUUUUUCUGCAUGAUGCUUCCUAGAGAUCACAGUGGAAGUACCAUCCUAAUGGAUUUUCCCUGCAUGAGGUCUCCACCAAUCCACUUCUACAGAAAGAAAAGGAAGGUCACGGAAUUUGCAGCAGCCACUUUUGUGGGGAGAAGUUUCCAACUCUGAAGAUGUGUAAACAUAGCGCAGAUGGGAUUAACACAAAGUUGGUGUGUGUGUCUGUGUGUGUGGGACUCCACGACAGAUGUGGACAGCAGACGCACAUGUGCUUCUAUGUAUACUACCAUCUGAUGCUACGUGUCUGCAUACGCACAUCUGCAUGCAGACACAUUCCACAGAUGCACACUAGAAAACAUGAUUGUGACCUCCUGACAGCAAGAAAAGGAGCUCCUUUGUUGUAUUUGGCUGUAGAACAUGAAAAGUCAAAAAAAGAAAAAAGUGUUCACAACUACCUAUCUCAAUAAUAGGACUAUUGUUUGGAGAAUACAGCACAUACAUGUGCACUUUCUGCGUGGUCGCAGAUUUUGGGCAGGACUUGGGCAGAUGAUGAAAUUUACAUCAAGUGGACCAUCGUGGCCAUGUGGAUGUGGAAACCAUGAAUUGGCCUUUAGUUUAGCAUGUUAAUGCUAAUAUUAAACCAAAGUAUUGGACAAAUUAAACUUUUGACUCGAUGGUGCUAGAUUAACAUUCCUAAUGUUGAAUAUAAUCAAGGUUUUGGCAUAAGUUGUUUAUUAUUACUUACUUAUUAAGUUUAGUAUUCAGUCUUCAGUCUCCAAAAAUAUCAAGAAUGAUCCUUUCAAGUCACAAUUCUAAAAUCCUAAUGUUUUGGUGACAUUUUCAGAGAAAUCAGAAGAACUAAUUACAGGCACUUCUUGGUAUUUCCACUGCAAAUUAUACUGUUUUUAAGUAUUUGUGCAUCAGUGUUUUCACUUAAUAUUAGAAUGUUUUUCAGUCUAAUCUGAUUAUUCUGUUAGUUUGAAUAGCUUAAUUUGCCAAGAAUUUUGGAUUAUUAUAUUUGUCCUUAUGACAUCAUUGCAAUUGUUUUCAAUGUAAAUAACAUGAUUUAAGAGUUUUAUAGGCUCAAUAAUUAUUUUCUUCAUAGUUAGUACAAAGAUCCAACUAAUUCUGCCAUGAUUUUGAUAUUGACACUUGGUUAAAGAAAAAUCUGACAUUAUUCGAGUGGCACUGUAAACAAAUGGAGAUAUACUGGUGCUCUGGCAACCUUUUAUACUGUAUUUUCUUGAGCUUACUAAUGCUUUGCAGGUAUAUCAUUAUGAGCAAGAGCAAAAGUGUAUGCAUUAAGUGGCUCAC